UACGUAGGGGGCAAGCGUUGUCCGGAUUUAUUGGGCGUAAAGAGCGUGUAGGCGGCCAUGCAGGUCCGUUGUGAAAACUCGAGGCUCAACCUCGGGACGCCGAUGGAAACCGCAUGGCUAGAGUCCGGAAGAGGAGAGUGGAAUUCCUGGUGUAGCGGUGAAAUGCGCAGAUAUCAGGAAGAACACCCGUGGCUAAGGCGGCUCUCUAGUACGGUACUGACGCUGAGACGCGAAAGCGUGGGGAGCGAACAGG
rnacentral:rRNA from 1 species